rnacentral:misc_RNA from 1 species
GCGGAGGAAAAGAAACCAACAGGGAUUGCCUCAGUAACGGCGAGUGAAGCGGCAACAGCUCAAAUUUGAAAUCUGGCCCCCUCGGGGCCCGAGUUGUAAUUUGGAGAAGAUGCUUCGGGUGUGGCCCCGGUCUAAGUUCCUUGGAACAGGACGUCACAGAGGGUGAGAAUCCCGUACGUGCCCGGUGGCCGCGCCCGUGUGAAGCUCUUUCGACGAGUCGAGUUGUUUGGGAAUGCAGCUCAAAAUGGGUGGUAAAUUUCAUCUAAAGCUAAUAUUGGCCAGAGACCGAUAGCGCACAAGUAGAGUGAUCGAAAGAUGAAAAGCACUUUGGAAAGAGAGUUAAACAGUACGUGAAAUUGUUGAAAGGGAAGCGCUUGCAACCAGACUUGCGCGCGGGCGAUCAUUCGGUGUUCGCACCGGUGCACCUUGAGAGCCGCGCAGGCCAGCAUCGGUUUGGGUGGCUGGACAAAGGCCUCGGGAAUGUAGCCCCCCUCGGGGGGUGUUAUAGCCCGAGGCGCAAUGCAGCCUACCCGGACCGAGGACCGCGCUUCGGCUAGGAUGCUGGCGUAAUGGUUGUAAGCGGCCCGUCUUGAAACACGGACCAAGGAGUCUAACAUCUAUGCGAGUGUUUGGGUGUCAAACCCAUACGCGGAAUGAAAGUGAACGGAGGUGAGAGCCCUUAAGGGUGCAUCAUCGACCGAUCCUGAUGUCUUCGGAUGGAUUUGAGUAAGAGCAUAGCUGUUGGGACCCGAAAGAUGGUGAACUAUGCCUGAAUAGGGUGAAGCCAGAGGAAACUCUGGUGGAGGCUCGCAGCGGUUCUGACGUGCAAAUCGAUCGUCAAAUUUGGGCAUAGGGGCGAAAGACUAAUCGAACC